rnacentral:rRNA from 1 species
GAAUCCUACGGGACGCAGCAGUGAGGAAUAUUGGUCAAUGGGCGCGAGCCUGAACUAACCAAGUCGCGUGAGGGAAGACGGUCCUAUGGAUUGUAAACCUCUUUUGUCGGGGAGCAAAAGACGCCACGCGUGGCGUUCCGAGAGUACCCGAAGAAAAAGCAUCGGCUAACUCCGUGCCAGCAGCCGCGGUAAUACGGAGGAUGCGAGCGUUAUCCGGAUUUAUUGGGUUUAAAGGGUGCGCAGGCGGAAGAUCGAGUCAGCGGUAAAAUUGAGAGGCUCAACCUCUUCGAGCCGUUGAAACUGGU